rnacentral:lncRNA from 1 species
AGAAUUCCUUAUCUGGAUUUCUAGUUCGCAGACCAAAGAAAAUAAAGAGGCAUUUCCUUUUGAAUAGGAAUUCAAUGAGGUGACUUGGAACACCCAAACUCAAUUCCAAGUGGCGACUCUGUAAGUAAAAUAAUCCCUUUUCAAAACGUCACUUUAAUUGGGAAAACCCAUUUUCUCUAAAACCAACUCCCUAGCGGGGUCAGAUGCGGUGAAAAAC